rnacentral:rRNA from 1 species
AUUGAACGCUGGCGGCAUGCCUUACACAUGCAAGUCGAACGGUAACAGGUCUUCGGAUGCUGACGAGUGGCGAACGGGUGAGUAAUACAUCGGAACGUGCCUAGUAGUGGGGGAUAACUACUCGAAAGAGUGGCUAAUACCGCAUGAGAUCUACGGAUGAAAGCAGGGGAUCGCAAGACCUUGUGCUACUAGAGCGGCCGAUGGCAGAUUAGGUAGUUGGUGGGAUAAAAGCUUACCAAGCCGACGAUCUGUAGCUGGUCUGAGAGGACGAUCAGCCACACUGGGACUGAGACACGGCCCAGACCCCUACGGGAGGCAGCAGUGGGGAAUUUUGGACAAUGGGCGAAAGCCUGAUCCAGCAAUGCCGCGUGCAGGAUGAAGGCCUUCGGGUUGUAAACUGCUUUUGUACGGAAUGAAAAGCCCCGGGUUAAUACCCUGGGGUCAUGACGGUACCGUAAGAAUAAGCACCGGCUAACUACGUGCCAGCCGCCGCAGUAA